rnacentral:rRNA from 1 species
CGGGAGGCAGCAGUGGGGAAUUUUCUGCAAUGGGCGAAAGCCUGACAGAGCAAUACCGCGUGAGGGAUGACAGUCCUAUGGAUUGUAAACCUCUUUUUUCAGGGAGGAAGUUCUGACGUUACCUGAAGAAUAAGCAUCGGCUAACUCCGUGCCAGCAGCCGCGGUAAUACGGAGGGUGCAAGCGUUAAUCGGAUUUACUGGGCGUAAAGCGUGCGUAGGUGGUU